CUGGGAAUUGAGGAGCUCAGAACAAGUGGCUCUCCCACGUGGCAUUUCCUAUCAUCUUUAUUCUUCAGGGCAGACCUUUUGCUGGGCCUUUGGACUGAAGUUUAAGAAAAUGAAAUAUGUCUAAACAUCCUGGGUGCAAACUAAGGCAAAUGGUAACAAAGUCCUUUCCUACUCUCCUGAUGUAUGAUAUUUUGGAGCUCACUGAAGUGUAAAACCAACAGCUCACCAGAGAGGUCCAACAACCGCAGUCUCAGGAUGUCAACAGGAGCCCAACAUGGAGGAUUGGGCGCAGCUAAUUGACCAAGAACAGCCUGAAAGGCAAGUUUCACUCGAUUUUCCUCUCAGAAGAUUCCUUUUGUGCAUCUCACACUCCUGAGCAUCUGAGCUGGAAACUUCAUGGGACGGAAUUUAAAACAAUAAUCAGGAUAAUGCUCAGAAAACAGCAUCUCAAAUGCCACCAAGCGUAUCCUUUAUCUUCUAAAGUAGGCCACCACACACAUGAUGCCGACCACCAGCAGGGCGAUGCAGAUGCCAGUGAUGGUCAGCACCCUCUUCUGGUAGAGCUCCUCUGCUUCUGGAAAGGGACGAGAGCAGACGUCACCGAAGGCCCCUGACCCUGGCCCGGGCUUACAAGUGAACAGUUGGCAUGCUACA